rnacentral:lncRNA from 1 species
AUGCUGAAGCGACUCGGCUCUGCCCGGGGGGCCCCGGCCCUGAACCCCGAGAGCCGGCCGGGGCCUAGCAGAAAGCGGGGGCAGCGGGGUAAGGGUGUGGCAGGACUCGGGGACUGUGCCCAGGGCCAGCGGGGGCCCCACAGGGGUCAGGCCGGGCAGGACGGGGCCCAGGCUCCUCGAGGUGCGGGAAGCAGCCUUCAGGGCCCGGGGUGGGGGCGGCCUCGCGUCCAUUUUCAGUCACGGAAAAGAGCUCCAGGCCCUCGCUCUCCCCGUGACAGCCCACGAGCCAGAAGGAGGGCGACUCUCCCAGGACGGCCGUCUCUCCCCCAGCUCUCAGCUUCGGCAGUGUUAUUACCGCUUCCUAAAAAAGAAGCCAGAACCCUGGAUUUCUACGUGAAAUCUCCUGAUUUUAAAUGCCGGCUCGUUGCUAUUUUAUCAAAACGUGUCUUACAGGAUGGGGCGCAGGCACGCCGCAGCAUCCACGAGGCCACAACCCAGCCUCACAACUGCCUCAGGAGACCGAUACUCAGAUGGCCAGAUGGGCUCAGAGAAGUCAAGCGACAUGCCCAAGGUCACACAGCCACCUGGGACUCGACCCUAGUAAUGUCUGCCCGUGAAGCCCGCACCACAGACACCCUCCAGCCCUGAUGGCCAUGGAAGAGAAGGUAGGAGCAGGGGUUUUCAAUGUCUUCUCUGGGUCAGUGACCCCUGGACCCGUUUCUAGAGUGGCCACGACACCACACCACACACUGGGCCUCUCUGAACCGCAGAAGUGAAUUCUCUCACUGUGGAGGCCAGAAAACCAAACUUGGGGGUCAGCAGGGCUCUGGGGAAGGGUCCCUCCUGCCUCUUCCAGUUUCGGGGGCCUCGAUGUCCCCGGGGGGCCACAGCCUCUGCUGCCGUCUCCCCUGCACAUCUGCGGGUCUCGGUGCUGCGGCUCCCUCCCCUUCUCCAGCCUUUGGAUUUAGGGCCCCUCGUAAUCCACGAUGACCUACUUUCA